GAUGAACGCUGGCGGCGUGCUUAACACAUGCAAGUCGAACGAUGAAGCCCAGCUUGCUUGGUGUAUUAGUGGCGAACGGGUGAGUAACACGUGAGUAACCUGCCCUUUACUCUGUGAUAAGCCUGGGAAACUGGGUCUAAUACUUGAUAUGACUUCUCAUCUCCUGGUGGGGGGUGGAAAGAUUUAUUGGUCUUGGAUGGACUCGCGGCCUAUCAGCUUGUUGUUGAGGUAGUGGCUCACCAAGGCGACGACGGGUAGCCGUCCUGAGAGGGUGAACGGCCACAAUGGGACUGAGACACGGCCCAGACUGCUACGGGAGGCAGCAGUGGGGAAUAUUGCACAAUGGGAGCAAGCCUGAUGCAGCGACGCCGCGUGAGGGAUGACGGCCUUCGGGUUGUAAACCUCUUUCAGUAGGGAAGAAGCGAGAGUGACGGUACCUGCAGAAGAAGCGCCGGCUAACUACGUG
rnacentral:rRNA from 1 species